UACGGAAGGUCCAGGCGUUAUCCGGAUUUAUUGGGUUUAAAGGGAGCGUAGGCCGAUGGCCAAGCGUGUUGUGAAAUGUGGACGCUCAACGUCCGACUUGCAGCGCGAACUGGCCGUCUGAGUGCGCGCAACGUUGGCGGAAUUCGUCGUGUAGCGGUGAAAUGCUUAGAUAUGACGAAGAACUCCGAUUGCGAAGGCAGCUGACGGGAGCGCAACUGACGCUGAAGCUCGAAGGUGCGGGUAUCGAACAGGAUUAGAUACCCUGGUAGUCCGCACGGUAAACGAUGGAUGCCCGCUGUGUGCCCCUGGGGUACGUGGCCAAGCGAAAGCGUUAAGCAUCCCACCUGGGGAGUACGCCGGCAACGGUGAAACUCAAAGGAAUUGACGGGGGCCCGCACAAGCGGAGGAACAUGUGGUUUAAUUCGAUGAUACGCGAGGAACCUUACCCGGGCUUGAACUGCAGAGGAAGGUCACAGAGAUGUGCCCGCCCUUCGGGGUCUCUGCGGAGGUGCUGCAUGGUUGUCGUCAGCUCGUGCCGUGAGGUGUCGGCUUAAGUGCCAUAACGAGCGCAACCCCUCUCCUUGGUUGCCAUCGGGUGAUGCCGGGCACUCCAGGGACACUGCCGCCGUAAGGUGCGAGGAAGGUGGGGAUGACGUCAAAUCAGCACGGCCCUUACGUCCGGGGCUACACACGUGUUACAAUGGGGAGUACAGAAAGUCGGCUGCGCGCAAGCGUCGUCCAAUCCUAAAACCUCCCCUCAGUUCGGACUGGGGUCUGCAACCCGACCCCACGAAGCUGGAUUCGCUAGUAAUCGCGCAUCAGCCAUGGCGCGGUGAAUACGUUCCCGGGCCUUGUACACACCGCCCGUCAAGCCAUGAAAGCCGGGGGUGCCUGAAGUCCGUGACCGCAAGGAUCGGCCUAGGGCAAAACUGGUGAUUGGGGCUAAGUCGUAACAAGGUAACC
rnacentral:rRNA from 1 species